rnacentral:tRNA from 1 species
GCAGCUAUAGUUUAAUGGUAGAACACUUGACUUCCAAUCAGUAAGCGUCAGUUCGAUUCUGACUAGCUGCU